UUGGCUAAGAAAUGAAACAAUAAAAUGGGUAAUUGGGCCAAAAAUUAAAAAAUUAGAAAUGAAACAAAUUAUUGAGCCAAAAAUUUGGAUUUCGAAAUCGUUAAUUUGUCAAUUUGUUUAGAAAAAAUUGAAAUUAAAAUAAUUUGAUUUACUCAAUAUAAAAAACAAUUAGAAAAAUUCGGUUCUUAUUCGGUUCUUCGGGUCUUGGUCUAGAACCGAG
rnacentral:lncRNA from 1 species